rnacentral:misc_RNA from 1 species
GUAGGUGAACCUGCGGAAGGAUCAUUAAUGAAAUGAAUGUUGGGAAGGGUUGUAGCUGGCCUCUCGGGGCAUGUGCACACCUGUACCAUGCAUCCAGCUCUCUCACACCUGUGCACCUGUAUGUAGCUUGGAGGGAUGAUUACGAUGUUGGAAACAGCAUUGAAAGCUCUCUUAGCUAUGAAUUUUUACACACAUAUAUAAAGUUAUAGAAUGGAUAAAGUUAUAGCGUGUAAUAGCGCGAAUAAAUACA